GACGAACGCUGGCGGCGUGCCUAAUACAUGCAAGUGGAACGCAUUUUGAUCACCGUAGCUUGCUACACGGAUUAAAAUGAGUCGCGAACGGGUGAGUAACGCGUAGGUAACCUACCUUCUAGCGGGGGACAACUAUUGGAAACGAUAGCUAAUACCGCAUAAGACAUUUUAUCGCAUGAUAGGAUGUUAAAAGAUACAACUGUAUCACUAGGAGAUGGACCUGCGUUGUAUUAGCUAGUUGGUGAGGUAACGGCUCACCAAGGCUGCGAUACAUAGCCGACCUGAGAGGGUGAUCGGCCACACUGGGACUGAGACACGGCCCAGACUCCUACGGGAGGCAGCAGUAGGGAAUCUUCGGCAAUGGGGGCAACCCUGACCGAGCAACGCCGCGUGAGUGAAGAAGGUUUUCGGAUCGUAAAGCUCUGUUGUAAGUGAAGAACAGUGGUAGGAGUGGAAAAUCUGCCAUAUGACGGUAACUUACCAGAAAGGGACGGCUAACUACGUGCCAGCAGCCGCGGUAAUACGUAGGUCUCGAGCGUUGUCCGGAUUUAUUGGGCGUAAAGCGAGCGCAGGCGGUUAGAUAAGUCAGAAGUUAAAGGCUGUGGCUCAACCAUAGUACGCUUUUGAAACUGUUUAACUUGAGUACAGAAGGGGAGAGUGGAAUUCCAUGUGUAGCGGUGAAAUGCGUAGAUAUAUGGAGGAACACCGGUGGCGAAAGCGGCUCUCUGGUCUGUCACUGACGCUGAGGCUCGAAAGCGUGGGUAGCGAACAGGAUUAGAUACCCUGGUAGUCCACGCCGUAAACGAUGAGUGCUAGGUGUUAGGCCCUUUCCGGGGCUUAGUGCCGCAGCUAACGCAUUAAGCACUCCGCCUGGGGAGUACGACCGCAAGGUUGAAACUCAAAGGAAUUGACGGGGGCCCGCACAAGCGGUGGAGCAUGUGGUUUAAUUCGAAGCAACGCGAAGAACCUUACCAGGUCUUGACAUCCCUCUGACCGGUCUAGAGAUAGGCUUUCCCUUCGGGGCAGAGGUGACAGGUGGUGCAUGGUUGUCGUCAGCUCGUGUCGUGAGAUGUUGGGUUAAGUCCCGCAACGAGCGCAACCCUUAUUGUUAGUUGCCAUCAUUCAGUUGGGCACUCUAGCGAGACUGCCGGUAAUAAACCGGAGGAAGGUGGGGAUGACGUCAAAUCAUCAUGCCCCUUAUGACCUGGGCUACACACGUGCUACAAUGGUUGGUACAACGAGUCGCAAGUCGGUGACGGCAAGCUAAUCUCUUAAAACCAAUCUCAGUUCGGAUUGUAGGCUGCAACUCGCCUACAUGAAGUCGGAAUCGCUAGUAAUCGCGGAUCAGCACGCCGCGGUGAAUACGUUCCCGGGCCU
rnacentral:rRNA from 1 species